GGAGGGUGGAUUGUAAUACCCGAAAAAUUCAAGUUAAUUUCCGAUGACGUUUUGGAAAUGAUUUCGUGGUCGUGGACACGAGUACGAAGCUUAGAGGAGUGUGGAAUUAGUUCGAACGAUUUUAUUUUGAAAACUGAACGUUUUAGGGGGGGUCAAAGGAGUUGACUUUUUAUACAUUGGGAAAUUGGGAAAACUUCCUUCAUGAAAGUUGUAGAGCGCGUCGAUACGAGUUCGUGGACAUAUGGAACGUAAUAUUCGGAGUUCGUAUGAAUAAGUUACGAAUAUUUGAAAAUUGGGAUUUUCUAUAAAUAUGAAAAAAAAUCCGAAUAUUGCAAAUGAGGACAGAAUUUCUGGAACUCCAGAAAUUUCUCCCCAUUUCUCUCCCGAGCCCAGCCGCGACCCCCUCCCUUCGUCACAUUCGUUCUUCCUCAUCCGGCCACCGAUUGAUGUGAAACAAAGUGGGUUUUUCUGGUCUCGACCCCCUUUACGAGUUUGUAGAAGAAAUCGAAGUGAAAUACGAGCUGUAUGAGGCUCUACAAGGUCGAGAAGAGAGCCUCGUCGGAGACGAAAUCGCUCUUCCCCACUUUUUCUGGGCUCUACUUUGUCUGGCCAUAUCUUCCUCUACAGGCCUCCGAUCGACCUGAUUCCAAAAGCAAUUUUUCUCACCGUGAAGUUUUCUACAACUUUCCAGAAGACAUCGACUUGAGAUAACCAUCGUGGUGGCCGCUAGAAGACCGAGAAGCCGCACAGCCGAGCUGGAAAUCGUCUUCCUUCGCCACCUUGGUUCUCCCAGCUCCGGCCACUAUAGCUCGAGUUCUUUGAGGGCUUUUCUAGCCCAGAGGAAGUAGAAGCUAUCCCCAAGAAGGCUUGCAGCGAUUUGAUCCGGGGUGAUCGAAUUUUGAAGAUUGGGAAACUAGGGUUCUUCGGGUUUCAAAACUUGCGAGGUGAUUGACGGUCUCCCUUGGGUGAACGAUUUCGGUGUGUAUUGUGUUGAAUUGAAGACGCAGCGGGAAUAUCGAGCGGGUAAUCCUGCAGGUCAGGAGAAUCAGGGCGGUGAUCGAGCGGGUUAGAGUAUUUGUUAUAGUUUUACAGCAUUUGUAAUAGUGAGGUGAGUUAAGCUCAUUGAGCCUUACAAUUUGAUUUAGUGAGAGUGUGUUGUAAUAAUUAACUUGAGGAUUUGAUUUAUUGUAAUAUUGAGAGGUGUGAAGUGUGGUUGUUUGUGAGAAAAAAAUUCAGGACGUUUAUUCUAUUAAGUUGUAUAAUUCAUGUUUCGGAUUUGGAUUUGUUAUUCAAAAUCCGGGGCGUGACAUGUCUCCUUUCUUUUACCAAAAGUAUUGGAACUUGGUUAGUCUUGAUGUAUCUAAUGCAGUUACAAACUCAUUGGAGAUGGGGAAGUUUUGGGAUCAAUCUAAUUAUACCUACUUGUGUCUUAUACCAAAAAUAAGAGAUCCAGCUCAUUUCAGGCCUAUUGCACUGUG